GCCACUCAGAGGCAAGCACUUAGGAAGCACCCUCCUUUUGGAAAUAUCCAUGACGUCCUGUGGGGCAAAAUUUCAAGGGAGUAUGGAAGAAAGAAGGAAGGAAGGAGCAGGCCAAAUGGAGGACACUGGACAACGUGGAUAGGACUUUGCAAGAACUAAGGCAGCUCCAAAAGGAUAAAAAGGAGGACUUCCUGGAUAAUCCUGUAGAAGAUGGUGUUUGUUCAGGGAGCAGCUGCUGAAAUGAAUGAACUCUAACUCUACACUCUCUAAGACAGUAACCACCAGCCACAUGCAGUAAUUGGGCAUUGAAAUAUGGCUAGUCUGAAAAAUAUUAAUACAAGUAUGUAUGCAUGUGUGUAUGUAUGCUAUUAUGUUAUACAUAUACUAUCUCGUAAAUCGUUUUUAUAAUGAUUACAUGUUGAAAUGAUAUUUUGGAUACAUUGGGUUAAGUAAAGUAUAU
rnacentral:lncRNA from 1 species